rnacentral:snRNA from 1 species
UGUUGUUGUUUUUUCAAGUCGUCAUGGAGGGGUAUUGGGAAAAGUUUUCAAUUAGCAAUAAUCGUGCCUGGGCUAAACCUCAUUGGCACGAUACUGCCACUGCGCAAACCU